rnacentral:tRNA from 1 species
GCCCUUGUAGUUUAAGAAAAAUUUUAAUUUUGUAAAUUAAAGAUGUUAUCCAAGGGCA